CUCUCUCUCUCUCAUACACACACACACACACACACACACAACCACACCCGGAGACUCACAAAUAAACAAACACAGACUCCCAUGGGACAUUCAUGGCAGCAUUCAGAUGAGUCUAAAGGAGCCCCACCCUCCGCACUGAGUCACCAAAUGUACCCAUGUCUGUGUACACAGACUCUCACACUCACUUGCAGGCUCCUGCUAUAUACUCACUCCUGGCUUUAGAAAUGUUUCGAUGACCAGAUGACAGAGAGAUCCCCACUCUGGCCGCCCAGAGCCAGCCAGGCUUGGUGCACAGACAGCCACAGCCCAAGCUGGCUCAAGGCAGCAAGGCCACACCAAGGACCAAGCCCCAUCACUGCCUCGCCAACCCUUGGCUCAUUCCCACGGUCCAAAGCUGUGAUUUCCUGGGUAUAAGGAGCUUCCCACUGAAACAGAUCAGCUGCUGUCCCAGAGAAUUACCCAGAGCACUGAGAUGUGAAGUCUCAUGCCCAGGGUCACAAAGCCAGGAUGUGUGGGGGUCAAAGAGGCUGGACUUGAAAACAGCUCUUCCUGACUGAGCCUCUCUGCCUCUCUGCUUGGCACACAGCCGGUGCUUCAUAAAUGCUCACUGAAUGAAUGAAUGCUAGGGAUUGUCCUCCAUCAAGAACAAGACAAAGAACACUCCUGACUGGUACCUUCACAUAUUAAUGUGUAAACAGAGAAAGGCAGUGGGCUGUCCUGGACAGAGCCUGAGACAGGGAGUCAGAAGACCUGAGCUCGAAUUAUGGCAUCAUGUUAUUUUUUCAGCUUUUCUCACCUGUAAAAUGAUAGUAUUGGACGAGAUGCUUUUAAAAAGCCUUCUCAGGCCUAUGACAAGCCCACUGUGAAGCCCCCUCCCAGGGAGAGGCAGCCCCCCCCCGGGUUCUAGGACAUCCUCUGGCUUUUGUAGGAGUCUCUUUUCUCUGCCUUCAGCUUGAGCCCCCACCAGAUGUGUCUCCCCAUUUGUUCAGGGUUCAGGGACCCCAGUUCCUUCUAACCACUCAUCAGCACGAGGAAGACUGGAUUUCCAACUUCUGGGUGUUCCUUAACUCUGGUUUGGGAAGGAGAUGAGGAGGGCAGCUUUAGGAGUGAGCCUGAAGUAGUCCUGAAAGGCCCGGCUUCUCCCGGUCCCCUCUGGGCCUGCCUCCCAUUCGCUUGGUCCCCCUGGGCAAGUCCCAUCCUCUCUCAACACGUCUAUUUUGGUGUCUUACCCUCUGAACUGGAGAGGAAAGUGAUGCUACUUUCCAUCCAGCGUGGCCAGCUGACAAGCAGGCAGUCUCCCAGAUCACUCGGCUGGCUUCCCUUCGGAUUCAGGCAGAGACCCAGAUUCUCCCUUGCUAGGCUGUCCAAUGAGUAAAAGGCAGGGGCCACAGGGGGAAGAAUGCACCUCAGGGGGCCCACUCCUCACUUCCCCACCCAUCAGAUGCACAUGGCCAACCCGGAGAGGUCGCCAGGGCUGCAAAGUGGGCUAGGCCAGCCCUGCCCAUCAGCCUUGAUGACAGAGAUGAUCUCUGGCCCUCAUCUCUGUUCUGAGGGCUGUAUGGCCCCUCGUCUCUCGUGCUGCAGGCUCCUUUAGAAGGUUCUUAGGCUCACAGGUUUGGGGGCUGGAAGGGACCCCAGCAAUCACCUGCUUCCAAUCUCUCCUUUUACAGUUGUGGAAACUGAGGCCCAGAGAGGCUAGCCUAAGGCCACAGAGACAGCAAGGGGCCACUCCAGGUCCUCUAACUCCACAGAGCCGGCCAGCCACACCCGGGCUCCUUCCACACCUCGAGGGGCCCAAGUGGAAGGCUGUCUGUGAUGUGACUUGGCUUCUGCUGGCUUCCUGAAGAACCGAACCCUUUCCAUUCCCAUUUCCCCAACUCAGCCCGAGGCCUCCUUAAAGGUGUGUCUCAUCAUGCAGAGCCCGCUGGCAAGAAGAGGCUCGUAGGGUGUUGGGGCUGGAGCAGCCUCCCCAAGUGUGCGGCCAGUGAACCCGGGAGCAGCUUUGUGACCGAAGUCAAAUACCAUUCUCUGGAGAGGAGAGGCCGCUGACUACCCCUUUUGUUCUGCCUUUCCUGCUCCCAUGUCCCAGAUUCUUUUGAUGGCUCCUCACGCCUGGGGCGUUUGCUCUAAGGCACUCGGAGCAGAUUGUGGCCCUACCCUCCAUUCAGUCUGAACAUCGGAAUUCCUUUAUGGCUCCGCAGGAAGCUCCCCGUAAAAUUAACCAGCACUCCAGGACUUCUCCCAGCUGUCACCACCUCUCUCCUGGGGCCAUCUUCCUUUGCCCUACUUGGUAUCAUGCUUAUUUGGACUCUAAGCACACAGAGACCGGAUGCUUGGUCACCUUUAGAAGAGUUCUGGGUACCGAGGAGGAAAAUUCCAGAAAUGAAGACAUUCUGCCACGGCCUGGUUACAAGACCCUGUGCUUCUGUGUUCAGUUCUGUGAGAUGCCAGAAUGACUCCUGGCGCCCCUGCUGAGCGUGGGCCCUGGAGGCCAUACCAAGGAAGAAGAGAAGACAGAGGCUCCUGGGGCAGGUGUCAGGAGACACGAUGGAAGUGAGCUCACAGGACAGCUGAGCUCGAACUGACGCCUGAGACUAGAAAGGGACCUCAGGACCGCCAAGGUUCCCUUGGCCGACUCCCUCCUUUCACAGACAGGGAAAGUGAGGACCAGAGAAGUUCAGUGCCUGACCAAGGCCACCCAGGCAGUGAGGGGCAGAGCCCAGAUACCUCCCAGGUCCUCUGACUUCAAAGCCAAUGUUCUUUCUGUGAGUAAAUUUGAACUGUGCCACAAUCAAUAAAUAAACAUGUAUUAAACAUU